GUCUGUCCCGUACUGCGGUCCUGCAUAAUAAACGAAUCAUCAAUAAAAUAUAUACCACAAUGUAGGGCACGAGUCAAACGACUAACAACAACAACAACAACAACAACCCAGUAUAAUCCCACUUAGUGGGGUCCGGAGAGGGUAGUAUGUACGCAGACCUUACCCCUAACCUUGGGUAGAGAGGCUGUUUCCAAAUAGAC
rnacentral:lncRNA from 1 species